GUCUUUUUGGUUAUUUAAUAUAAAGUCUGACCUGCCCACUGAAUAUAGUUUUAAAGGGCCGCAGUAUUUUGACUGUGCAAAGGUAGCAUAAUCAUUAGUCUUUUAAUUGAAGGCUGGUAUGAAUGGUUGGAUGAGGUACAAGCUGUGUCAUAAAAAUUAAUAUUUGAAUUUACCUUUUUAGUCAAAAGGCUAAAAUUUUAUUAAAAGACGAGAAGACCCUAUAGAGCUUUAUAUAAUUAAUAUUUAGAUUAUUAAUAUUUUUUAAAUUUAAUUAUUUUAUUAUAUUUUGUUGGGGUGACAAUAAAAUUUAUAAAACUUUUAUUAUUAUUAUUCAUUAAUUUAUGUUUAAAUGAUCCAAUUUUAUUGAUUAUAAAUUUAAGUUACCUUAGGGAUAACAGCGUAAUUUUUUUUGAGAGUUCUUAUCGACAAAAAAGAUUGCGACCUCGAUGUUGGAUUAAGAGUAAUUUUGGGUGUAGAAGUUCAAAAUUUAAGUCUGUUCGACUUUUAAAUUCUUACAU
rnacentral:rRNA from 1 species